CAGCAGGGACCACUGCUCCUGUGGGCCUCCUGAAGACGAGUGAAAGGGAAGACAGGCAGGAAGAAAGAGGAGAUCUGGACCGCCUUCAGUCGUGUUGGUUUUGUUCAUUUGUUGAUCUUUUUAAAGACAAAAAAGCUCUAUGAGGGGCUGGCCUCUGCGUCACAGGUCCGGCAACAGAGAUCCAUCAAGAGCAGGGAAACUGGCGACAUAGUCAGCAACACAUUACGGUCUCCACAGGAAGCCCAAAGAGAUGAAGUCGGCCAGCUGUCUGGAGAGGCUGCCAAACAAGCCCGGCCUCGAAAGGGGUGUCGCUCAUGUGCCCGGAUGGGCCAACGUCCCACACACGCCCGGUGGGGCUUAACUCAUGAGCUGAUGCCAGGGCGUGACGCUCAGGUCUUGGCACCCAGAAUACUAUGGAAGCUUUCGCCUUGUAGACCCUGUACAUCGUGCAUCUGGUUACUUUUUAAUCUUCAUCGUGACUGCUAGGAAGCGC
rnacentral:lncRNA from 1 species